AUGCUCUGGUUUCUCUUCAUUAUACGAGCUAAUCUUUCGCCUUUUACUAAAGAUUACCGUGGUGAGGAACAUUACAAUGAGCUUAAACUGAAUUCUUGAAAUCCACCCUCUAAUAGGUAGAA